rnacentral:rRNA from 1 species
CCUACGGGAGGCUGCAGUAGGGAAUAUUGCUCGAUGGGGGAAACCCUGAAGCAGCAACGCCGCGUGGAGGAUGAAGGUUUUCGGAUUGUAAACUCCUUUUGUUAGAGAAGAUAAUGACGGUAUCUAACGAAUAAGCACCGGCUAACUCCGUGCCAGCAGCCGCGGUAAUACGGAGGGUGCAAGCGUUACUCGGAAUCACUGGGCGUAAGGAGCGCGUAGGCGGGAUAGCAAGUCAGAUGUGAAAUCCUAUGGCUUAACCAUAGAACUGCAUUUGAAACUGUUAUUCUAGAGUAUGGGAGAGGUAGGUGGAAUUCUUGGUGUAGGGGUAAAAUCCGUAGAGAUCAAGAGGAAUACUCAUUGCGAAGGCGACCUGCUAGAACAUAACUGACGCUGAUGCGCGAAAGCGUGGGGAGCAAACAGGAUUAGAUACCCCAGUAGUC